rnacentral:lncRNA from 1 species
GAUUCAUUAAGUUUAUAUUAUAUUUUAUUUUAUUUCGAUGUUUUUAAACUAAAAUAAGAUAAACUUGUUUUCCAUUGUUAUUUUGAAAUGUUGAGUAAGAAAGCAUAAUUGAUAUUAAGCAAUUAAUUACAGAACAACCAAAAUAUCAAAAUAUGUGGAUUUAAGCUUAAUAAAUUAACUAGAUAAGAACUUAGGCAUUAUAUAUUGAUAUGUGGGCAUUGAAUAGAAUCAUUUUUAUUUACAUAAACGUACAUAAUCAUAAUCAUAAGUUUUAAUUUUAUUAUC